rnacentral:rRNA from 1 species
UUGAAAGGGAAACGAUUGAAGUCAGUCGUACCGACGGGAAAUCAACUUCUCGAGUGCUUACCGUGGGUGACGUUGAGCUUCACGGCCUUCGUUGCUUGUGUUGUUGGUGCUUUUGGGGUGUACUUUUCCGUAUGGUAGGUCAUCAUCGAUUUUGAUCGUCAUAAAAUGAUCGGGGGAAUGUAGCUUCGGUCUCGUAUCGGAGUGUUAUAGACCUUGGUAGAUGUGACGAUUGGGAUCGAGGAUUGCAACGAAUACCCUUUUGGGCUAUCCGUCUGUCCUCUGAAAGUCGCUCGGG